CCCGUCACACCACGAAAGCCCGCUGCAACAGAAGUCAGUUCUCUAACCCGCAAGGGAUGAUGCUGCCAAAGUUGUGGCUGGUGAUUGGGGUG
rnacentral:rRNA from 1 species